GAGGGCAUAGCUCAAGUGGUAGAGCACUGCUUAGCAUGCAUGAGGUCCUGGGUUCAAUCCCCAGUACCUCCA
rnacentral:tRNA from 1 species